UGGAGACAAAGUAUUAUAAAAAAUUAUGUCAUGAGCGCAGACAGAGGGACAAUAAGGCAAAGAGCUCCCAGAAUAUAAUUACUUGCUGUAGAGUUGUGCUCAUGUCUUUCCACCUCAUCUUCUUCAUAUAAAGAGAAAGAACCAGUCUGGCAGGUAUUUUGUUGAAGUGGAAAUGUAUACUGUCAUCAGCAGCGAUGUAUGCUGUCAAACUGGAAGAGCAGCAGUAUGGCAAACAGAGAAAGGGGAAAAAAAGUGUUAACCUUACAUUGACUUUGGUGAGAAGUAAACAGAGAACCUUGAGAUAAUACAAAUACACACAUAAAAGCAUAAACACAUGGACAUACGUGCACACGCACACACAGCCAAGCCUUAACCCUAACCCUUGACUGGUAAUACUAGGCCUACUAUUUACAGCAGUAGAGCUAGCCAUAACCCCAAUCCUAACACAAACUAGUAAUACAUUGUAUUUACAGCAGUAGAGAUAGCCAUAACCCUAAUCCUAACCCCAAACUAGUAAUAAAUGGGAUUUAUAGCAGUAGAGCUAGCCAUACCCCUAACCAUACUGGUAGUACUUACAGCAGUAGAGGUAGCCAUACCACUACCCAUACUGGUAGUACUUACAGCAGUAGAGGUUUACCAUACCACUACCCAUACUGGUAGUACUUACAGCAGUAGAGGUAGCCAUACCCCUAACCAUACUGGUAGUACUUACAGCAGUAGAGGUAGUCAUACCCCAAACCAUACUGGUAGUACUUACAGCAGUAGAGGUAGUCAUACCCCUAACCAUACUGGUAGUACUUACAGCAGUAGAGGUAGCCAGGCAUUUGUGUGGAGGUCAUGCGAUAAGCUUCACUAGGAGUUAUUUUUCCCUCCUUCUUCAUAGGUUGCCAUUAUAGUGGUUUCCUAUUGUGAUAUUCUGUGGCAGGGGAGGGGCCCAGAAUAACCCAUAGGGACCUCAGAAGAGCCUAAAAACUUAAACAUGUUUAAAAUGUACUACCGCUCCUCUACCCCUCAGAUGCAUAAUCUGUAGCCGAUUACUAUCCUAUGCACUGACUGCCCAUAACAGCCUAAAUAAAUCUAUAGAAAAGGUAAUUAGGUGGGAAUACACAGGAUAUUUCCCCUGACAACAAUCCUAAUCACAUCCAAUCGAA
rnacentral:lncRNA from 1 species